rnacentral:rRNA from 1 species
AUGUCUUCCUCGUCUUCCUCAUCCGGCGCUAUCUCCCAGCCUACCCUCAGUGGUCAGGUCACCGAGAAGCUCUCCCGCACAAACUAUGUGCUAUGGCGCACGCAGAUCAUCCCGCAGCUGCGUGGCGCCGGGGUCUUCGGCUAUGUCGAUGGCACCCUGCCGGAACCGGCCAAGCUCCUCGCCACCAAGGACAAGGAUGGCAAGGAGACGUUUGAGCCCAACCCUCUCCACCCAAUCUGGGCCAGGGAGGACCAACAGGUGCUCGGCUACCUGCUGAGCAACCUCUCCAAGGAAGUCCUCAUCACGGUGACCACGGUCACCACGACGACUGCGCUCUGGACGACUCUGGCGGCCAUGUACUCGUCGCAGUCGCUCAGCCGCGUCAACAACAUCCGCACCAGCCUCAUCAACGCCCAGAAGGGCAACCAGUCCGUCGCCUCUUACUUCGCCUCGAUGCGCGGCCUCACGAACGAACUCGCCGUGGCCGGCAAGCCGAUCCAGGAUGAUGAACUCAUCUCCUAUAUCCUUCAUGGACUGGAUCAGGACUAUCAGCCCCUGGUCUCGGCCCUCGAUGCCCGUGUCACUCCUGCCUCCCUCGACGAGAUCUUCUCCAUGCUCAGCAACUUCGAUCAACGCAUGGCUCAGUUCCACGGCUCCGGUGGCGGCGGCUUCAAGUCGUCUGCAAACGCUGCUUCUAUAGGUCGUGGUGGUGGUUCUCUCUACCCUCGCUCCUCCCGUGGCACAACACGGUCCUCAGGUGGAGGACAAGGUGGUGGCGGCCGCGGGCGCUCGGGCACUAGGGGUCGCUGUGGCCGUGGCUCUGGUCGCGCUCGGGCGGACAGUCCUCGCUGCCAGAUCUGUGGCAAGCCAGGGCAUACAGCAAAAGAUUGCUGGUACCGCUACGACGAGGACGAAGUGAUUCUCAGGACGAGGACAAGGUAG